UGGUCCACACGAGAGUUAUGCAGGUUGU
rnacentral:piRNA from 1 species